rnacentral:rRNA from 1 species
UACGAAGGGGGCUAGCGUUGCUCGGAAUCACUGGGCGUAAAGGGUGCGUAGGCGGGUUCUUAAGUCAGAGGUGAAAUCCUGGAGCUCAACUCCAGAACUGCCUUUGAUACUGAGAGUCUUGAGUACGGGAGAGGUGAGUGGAACUGCGAGUGUAGAGGUGAAAUUCGUAGAUAUUCGCAAGAACACCAGUGGCGAAGGCGGCUCACUGGCCCCGUUACUGACGCUGAGGCACGAAAGCGUGGGAGCAAACAGGG